UUUGGGGAUGUGGGCCGCAUUCUUCUGGGACGGUUAUACCUUUUGAGACGAAGGGUUUAUCUUCUCAGUCUCUCUGCCACGAACGACAAUAAUCUUCGCUGAGAUCCUCCUCCUUCCCAAAUUAGACUAGAUCAGAGCUCCUUUGUCUUCCGAAGCAUCUUCCAAAGGCGCCGCAUUUGGAUUACAACAGUGAUUUUCCAUUCUUCCCGGCACACCUCGGCGAAUUUCUGUCGUCCAGCGUAAAGAAACACUGUUACUCCCAAAACCAUAGCCACAGUCCACUUGAUUGAGUUAGCUGUAUCUUCUCAAAUCUUCAGCUUUAAAUUCAUUCAACAACCCAUAUAAGUUAAAAAUUUAAGAAUUAUAGUUUCGUCAACUCUUCAUUCUAUCACCAAUUUAAAGAUGGAUCGUACUUACGGGAUGUACCAUACCACACGUACAAGCUCGACAUAUACGGAUGGCGUUCGAAAUUUUCUUAGGGUUGCUGAAACACAUCGGUUGAAUAGUGGAAGUGGAUUGAUUUGUUGCCCUUGUACAAUUUGUAAAAAUUUCCAAAGAUUUAAUGAUAUCAAAGACAUACAGUUUCAUUUAAUUA